rnacentral:rRNA from 1 species
AGAGUUUAAUCAGGGCUCAGGAUAAACGCUGGCGGCGCACAUAAGACAUGCAAGUCGAACGAACUUAACCAUUAGUUUACUAUUGGAGCGGUUAGUGGCGGACUGGUGAGUAACACGUAAGCAACCUGCCUAUCAGAGGGGAACAACAGUUAGAAAUGACUGCUAAUACCGCAUAUGCCUUAGAAUCACAUGGUUCGAAAGGGAAAGGAGCAAUCCGCUGAUAGAUGGGCUUGCGUCUGAUUAG